rnacentral:misc_RNA from 1 species
GAUGAAGAACGCAGCGAAAUGCGAUAAGUAGUGUGAAUUGCAGAAUUCAGUGAAUCAUCGAAUCUUUGAACGCACAUUGCGCCCCUUGGUAUUCCAUGGGGCAUGCUUGUUCGAGCGUCAUUUGUACCCUCAAGCUUUGCUUGGUGUUGGGGCCUGCUGCACUGGCAGCCCUUAAAAUCAGUGGCGGCGCCAUCUGGCUCUAAGCGUAGUAAUUCUUCUCGCUAUGGAGUCCUGGUGGAUGCUUGCCAUCAACCCCCAAUUUUUCUAUGGUUGACCUCGGAUCAGGUAGGGAUACCCGCUGAACUUAAGCAUAUCAAUAAGCGGAGGA